GAUCCGGUGGCCUAAUAGUUAGAGCGUCUGCCUCAGAUGCGGGAAGUCGUGGGUUCGAACCCUUCCCCUCCAUCCGGGUCA